CCUACGGGAGGCAGCAGUGGGGAAUCUUGGACAAUGGGCGCAAGCCUGAUCCAGCCAUGCCGCGUGAGUGAUGAAGGCCCUAGGGUUGUAAAACUCUUUCGUCAGGGACGAUAAUGACGGUACCUGAAGAAGAAGCUCCGGCUAACUUCGUGCCAGCAGCCGCGGUAAUACGAAGGGGGCUAGCGUUGUUCGGAUUUACUGGGCGUAAAGCGCGUGUAGGCGGGUCGUUAAGUUGGGGGUGAAAUCCCGAGGCUCAACCUCGGAACUGCCUUCAAAACUGGCGACCUGGAGCAAAGAAGAGGCAAGUGGAAUUGCGAGUGUAGAGGUGAAAUUCGUAGAUAUUCGCAGGAACACCAGUGGCGAAGGCGACUUGCUGGUCUUUUGCUGACGCUGAGACGCGAAAGCGUGGGGAGCAAACAGGAUUAGAUACCCUAGUAGUC
rnacentral:rRNA from 1 species